rnacentral:tRNA from 4 species
CUCCCCGUAGCUCAGUGGACAGAGCAGAGGGUUUCUACCCCUUGUGUCGCGGGUUCAAAUCCUGCCGGGGAGA